AAAAAAUUCAGCAUAUGACACAUCCAAUAGGAUCUUGUUCCACUCUUGAAACAGAAGAAUAUUGAAUAUAUUGUGGUUGUUGCAUGUAAUAAUAAUGAGGAUAGGCUUCAAGUAAUUGAAUUUGGUCCUUCUUCACAUCAGGCUUAGGUUCUUCUUUCUUCUUUUCAUCUUUUGCAGGUCCAACAGAAACUAUUUCAGCAUGACACCACUUCCUAAGUUUGCUUAGUACAUGUACUGGAUCUGUGUCUCCAGUUAAGGUUAAUUUCUUGUCUUUCAUGUCCACAGAAACUGAUUCUACCCCUGCAAAUAAUAUAGCAAUACGAUUUUAGGAAGAAAAAAAUUAAAGGUAAUCCAAUGUUAUAUUAUGAAAAAAAUUUAAGGUUAAUUUCUUGUCUUUCAUGUCCACAGAAACUGAUUCUACCCCUGCAAAUAAUAUAGCAAUACGAUUUUAGGAAGAAAAAAAUUAAAGGUAAUCCAAUGUUAUAUUAUGAAAAAAAUUUAAGGUUAAUUUCUUGUCUUUCAUGUCCACAAAAUUUUCCCUCUAGAUUAAAUAAAGUGAAGGCAAAUAAUGCAUGAGUAAAAUAUAUUUACGUUAUAUGUACAUAUCAAAUAAAUUAUCUAUUUAAUAUUUAUUUUCUCAAUAUUGAAACUAGACAUGUACAUUGACAUUACCUGAAAGGCCAGAGACUGUCUUCAUAGCUUUUUGCUUGGUUCUGUCAUCAUGUAUAUCCACCUUCAAUACUAGUUUCUGUAACAAAACAGAACAAAAUAUCUUUAGAUUCAAUGCAAAGAAAAAAUUAAUAGUGAGAGAGAGAAUGGACAAGGAUCUAGUUCUUACCAUCAUUUUCAAUAAAGCUUUUUGAUAACCAAUAAAUCAGAAUUGUUGGUUAAAAUUUUAAAGAAGAGCUAAGGUAUUGGAGCUAUAGAAUUGUUGGUUAAAAUUAAUUGUGAAGUGAAGAUGAGAGGUUUGUACAAUGCAAUAUAUAGAUACUAACUAGUCAACUGAAGUCAAGAAAAGUAGUGUGGUCCACUUUAAUAAUUAAACGCGGUAAUAGUAUGGUGGAGGGUGUGGUUCUUUGUAUCUUCAUUAUGGCCUCACACAAUUCCUUCCAAGAAAGUGAGACAAUUAAUUUAUUUAUUUUUAAAUAAAUGAUAUUAUUUAUUCAAAUUGAUAAAAUAUAUUUAUAUAAUACAAAUUGGAUAAAAACAAAAAUGAUAAAUUUGUGAAAAUACCCACAACAAUCAUGUCAAUAACAUAUAUUUACAAAGUAUAAAAGCCUACAAAUUUGACUAUAUUUAUAUUUAUGGAAUAUCUAUGUCUCUAGAUUUAUAACGUUGAUUAUGUCAAAGUCAUCGGUUGGAUUUGCACGGGAUCGAAACUGAUCUAACAAUCUAAAUCAAACAAACAUCUUAACAAGACGGCAAAGACAAACAACGGCGCACAAAUACGAGUAACAAAACAACGUUGCAGAAACAAGAUGAAAUCACAAAAGAAAUGUUAAAUACAAGAGAAUGAGAAAAGUGAUUUAGAGGCGUCAAAAAUUAACUUUGCAGGAAUCGAAGGCUUUCUCAUUUUAAAUUGAGGAUCUCGACUAGAUAACAAGCCUAGCGUGCAUGGUCAAUAGUUCGUCAUAGCAAGAUUGAAAGCAUAAUUGUGUCGAAGACAAGCAAUCACAGCGGGAAAGAUUCGAUUUCAAGCUCAAAGGUAGUUUCCUUAGUGGAAAUGUGGGGACAAUUGGUUGUCCAAGAUGGAGGAAGUUCUGAUCAUGUGAUUAGUCUCUUUCCAAUUAUUUUCCUUAUGUAUAAAUAAGAGUUUCCUAGUCGGAAAAUGGCUCGCACAUCAUUUAUAGAAAUUCUACAACACUCAAACUACCGACGCAUAUGAAAAAGAGUUAUACAGAAUGUAUGUAAACAGAUAUGUAGACCAUUUUACUUUUAAUGCAAUGCAGUUUACAUUUCCUUUAAGUUUACCUCCAUAUUUACUUUGCUUUUACUUGCAAUCUCAAAUCUGUCGAGAGACAGCGCCCUUUUUGACUCUAAAACAUGUCCUGCUCUCUAAGUAACCUGAGUGCAUUUCAUGGCCUUUUUCAAACCAUUUUCGAUCAAAACCUUUGCAAAACAUGUCCUGAGAUUUCUAGUUCGGUAUCGCUUGUAAUAAUCAGAACUAGCCCGUAAUUUGCCAAAAACACAGGUAAAUAAUGUGUUAGUCAAUGGUAGUCCUAAAAACGAUUUCCUGUUAGAGAGGUGCUUGUGUCAAGGGGAUCUCCUAUCUCCUUUUCUCUUUUUAUUGGCAGCGGAGGGUGUUGUGUAUUUCUAUUGGCUGCAUUGUUGCUAAAACAAAUAUCCUUGUUUGUGUUGUUGGAACCAAUGUUCCAACAUGUGUUUAGGCAUCUCUGUAAGAUGUCGGAUAUGAUGUUUUAACAUCGUAGCACGGUUCAGACUGCCUGGGUUCAUGCCUAUUUGUACGUGCGCCCUUUAUUGUUUAAGGAAACAAUAUUUCCUUAUCUUAUUGACCAAACAACGCACAUAUCUUUACAUACUCAGUUGUGGAAUAUUUCUAAAGUAAUAUUUAUAUUUUAGAAAAUAUUUGUUAUUGUUUUGGACGAUCCUAAUGAUGUUCCGACAUUUUAGGACUUUCCAUAUUUGUUUCUGAUUCUUGUUUUGUAGCCCAAGCUGCUUCAGCAUAUAAGGGAGAUUUCAAGAACUAAUGAUUCAUUCAAGCCGUCAUUCUAUAAAGUUUAGAUUUUUGGGGUUUUGAGUCUACAUGUGCUCUACUCUUGUAUCAUGUUGAUGCAAGUUUAGAACCUUUAUUGUGAGCCUUUCUUGUAUCGUCUGUGAUACAUGUUUAGGACUGUGUGUUGAGUUUGAUACUCUUGUGUACUACACCAAAGUUGUAAAACAAGGUGUGAGUUGUUUGUUUGAAGGUAACUUCAUCUUUGAGUUUGUGUUUAGGUCUGAUAGGUCACAGGGGUUGUGACUUACCAUAGGAUAGUGAGAUGGGAUCUCAGAUCUAGGAGUUCCUAGGUUGAAGUCUAUACAGGUAGGUCCUAGUACUUUAGUGUAAACGAGGAGUUUGCUGAGAGCUAUAGAAUAAGGACUACACUAGUGGAUUUUCUUCCUGGAUUGGUAACCCCCAGAGUAGGUGUGUUUGUCACCGAACUAGGUCAACAAACUUACUGUGUUCAUCUACUUUCUUGUUUUUUAUUUCUAUUUAUUUCGUGAUGUUGCAACAUUGAACGGUACAUUGUAAACGUUGAAACAUCUUACAUAACAUAUUAAAACAAGUGCGCUAGAAUUUCAAUUGGCAUCAGAGCAGGCACCCUGCCUGUUUUAGGGUGAGCUACAGGGAAGUUUAUUUCUAGCCUGAUGGACAAGGAAGGAGGAUUUCUGAAUAGACCACCUUUAUUGGAUGGAUCAAACUAUGACUAUUGGAAAUCACGUAUGAGUGCUUUUCAUAAGUCAAUUGAUAGCAAACAUGGAAAGCAGUUCUGAAAGGUUGGGAACAUCCUGUGACACUUGAUGCUGAUGACAACAGGACAUAUGUUUUGAAACCUGAUGAAGAAUGGAAUGUUGCUGAAGAUGAACUAGUUCUUGGAAAUUCCAAAUCAUUGAAUGCAUUGUUCAAUGGUGUAGACAAGAACAUGUUCAGCUUGAUCAGACAAUGUACUUUGGCUAAGGAUGCUUGCGAGAUUCUCAAAAUUGCACAUGAAGGUACUACCAAGGUAAAAAGUGAUAAAAUUCAACUUCUUACUACUAAAUUUGAGAAUCAGAAAAUGUUGAAUGAUGAGAGCAUUCAAGACUAUCACUUGAACAUUCUUCAAAGGUAAUAAUUUUGGUUCACAUCAUGUUCUUAAUUUAACAUGUUUUUAUUGCAACAUAAAAGGGCAUACUCCAAAUACUUGUUACAUAAGAAACUUUGGUGUUCCUUAUGGUGAAUUUAUUUGGGUAAAGAAAGGUAUUAACCCACAAGGACCCAAAUCACAAUGGGUACAUAGAAAGUACUAUUAAUUAUUUUGUAGGUAUUUGAAGACCAAGUGCUAAAAUUGUCAUAUUUAGAUUGGGUUCUUCAGGAUACAAGACCACAUGAUAUGGUUCAAUUUAUUUGCGAUUAUUUAAUGGUUGUGAUUUGAUGAAGAGACGAUCACUUGCAAGUUGCAUUCUUAUUUAUUCACAAUCAUGGUGAAAGACAUAAUAUUCAUUGUGAAGAAGAUAAGUUUUUCUACAUAAAAUUUAUUAUUUCCCUUAUAUUACGACCCUUUGUAAUUUACCCUUUUUCUUCUUUUUGAUGAUGUCAAAAGGGGGAGAAAGUGUAUGUUUGUGUUUUCUGCUUAAAUUGCUUCAGGUAUCCAAUUGCAAAACAAAGGGGGAGACAUAUAAGAUAGGGGGAUUUUCAUUGAGGAAACAUUGUCAAAAGGAUAUGGUUUGUCAUCAUCAAAAGGGGGAUAUUGUGAAGAAGAUUUCCUUCUUAGACUUGGUUUGGUUUUGAUGAUAACAAACUCAUAUCACAAAAGAAGAACACCUAUGGAUGCACAAGAUGAUGAUUAUGAUUAAAGAUUAGUGCCUAGACUUCUUGGUUAUACUCUUUGUAAGUAGCAUUGCUUCAUAAUAAUCUUUUUAACCUCUAUAAAUUCAAUUGAGAAUCAAAUCGAAAAAAUACAACAACUUUCAUUAUCUCAAUUGACAUUUUCAAUAUCACUCGUUUUUAAACUUUCAUUCAAAUUGUUUGGAAAACUUUGCAUACACUUUAACAUUUAUUCAAAAGUUUUCUGAGCACCAAGUCCAUUUGCUAGAGUGAUAUUGACAAAGAUAUACAGCCAUACAUUUGUUAUUUUUCAAUUACUUUGUUAUAAAGUUUUUUGUCAUUGUUGGUGAGAAUUAUUGUUUAAGAUAGUGGGGGUGCUAUUCAAAAGUGUUUGGUGUUUGUGUUGUAAUCAAGAGAGAGAAUUUCUUUCUUGUGUUUAUGUUAGAAAGAUUGUUAGGGGGUCUUAGGGUAAGAUUGCUUGUAACAAAGAUUCUAACAUAGUGAAAUCCUUCGUGGGGUGUGAAGGGAGUGGACUGACCCUAAGGUUUAGAGGGGAACCACUAUAAUUCUCUUGUGUCUUUUCUUCUUCCCUUACUCUUUUAUUUUUCCUUUCAUACCUUCAUAUUAAGUUUCUGGAAAAAUGAUCAAGAACGCUAAACUUGCAAAAAUUAACCAAUAUUCCUAGAAACCUAAUUCACCCCCCCCCCCCCCCCCCNNNNNNNNNNNNNNNNNNNNNNNNNNNNNNNNNNNNNNNNNNNNNNNNNNNNNNNNNNNNNNNNNNNNNNNNNNNNNNNNNNNNNNNNNNNNNNNNNNNNNNNNNNNNNNNNNNNNNNNNNNNNNNNNNNNNNNNNNNNNNNNNNNNNNNNNNNNNNNNNNNNNNNNNNNNNNNNNNNNNNNNNNNNNNNNNNNNNNNNNNNNNNNNNNNNNNNNNNNNNNNNNNNNNNNNNNNNNNNNNNNNNNNNNNNNNNNNNNNNNNNNNNNNNNNNNNNNNNNNNNNNNNNNNNNNNNNNNNNNNNNNNNNNNNNNNNNNNNNNNNNNNNNNNNNNNNNNNNNNNNNNNNNNNNNNNNNNNNNNNNNNNNNNCAAUUAUACAAGUUCCUUCCACAAUCCAGAAGUAUUCUUGUCACCCUUGCCCUUCCAAGGAGCGUUCACUAAAAUCAAUAUCUGAUUACAAUUGCUCAUGCACAAAAGCAAGAGACUUCAAACUACUCAAGCACAAAAGCAAGAGGUUUCAUAUGCUCAACCACACACGCAAGAGACUUCAUACGCUCAAGCACAAAAACAAGAGACUUCUAAUCAAACAGAAUUACACGGAAAUUUUUUUGAGUCUCUAGAAUUUCUAAGAUAUGAAAGUUGUUAAGAAAUUCUAAGUGAACUUGAUGUGAAAACCAUUUCUGCGGAGUUUUAGCACUUGUAAAAUUAUUGUGAGUCUCUUACAAUCUUCAAGUUCUCACUAAUAAUUUGUUGCUUAAUUUCCAGCACAUCAAAAGAGUCGUUGUUGAAGCUUGAUCAUCGCCAAUGAUCUGUUUCUUGAUUGGGUUAUUGUCCUAGGAGGGAACAAUUUCAAAUUCAUUCCUUGAAUAGAGAAUAACCAGAGUAGACACAGUUGUUAUCUUGUACUACUGCCGACAUGAGGAGUGGAGUAGUAGUUGCACAAUUGUACUAUGUCCUUUCCCUGCGCUCUUCAGUGGAUAAGCAUCCAAUGCCUUCUAAUUCCUUUAGACUCUGAUGAACUUAUGCUUUUAAGGCUCUUUAGACUCUCGAGUGCGUUUGGUUUGCAAAACAGCAAGUACUGGACAGAACAGUACAACAUAGAACAGUACAACACAAGGCAGAACAACACAGGACAAAUUUUUUAUGGCAUUGAGUAAUUUUUUGUUUUAUACGAUUUUUGAGGGACAAAAUGCUAUUUUGGUAUUUUAGACAAUUUGUACGUGGGACAAAAAGUUGUGCUGUGGUUUGAUGAGGGACAAAAAUAUGAGUUUUUAUCUUGUCCCUUGCCUCCAGUUUGUCCUGUACCUGAAACAGUUUUACAAAUCAAACACUGGACAGCUAGAGUUGUUCUGUCCUGUCCUUCAUUUUUUAGCAAAUCAAACGCACCCUAAGUCUUUAGAAUCUGUCUUGGAACAUAAGCUUCAUUUGUAGAUACGUUUGCUCUCUUUGUUCUAUGAGAACCAAUGCUUGGCUUAUAAUUUUUUUUCCAUGGUUCUGCACACUUGAACAAAUAUUAGCAUAUCCAAUUUACAUUUUAAUACCUUGUUAUCAUCAAAACUUAAUGUUGGGUAUUUGUAUUGGUUGCAUUAUUGCUAAAAUAAAUAUCCAUGUUUAUGUUGUUGGAUACAAUGUUCCAACAUCGUGACACGGUUCAGUGUGCCUGGUUUCAUGCCUACUUGUACGCGCACUUUAUCUUUUUAAGGAAACCACUUUUCCAUAUCUUGCUAACCAAGCAACUAGAGCUGUCAAAACGGGCUACCCGGCCCAUUUUGGGCCUGGCUGAGCGGGUUGCGGGCUUUUUAGGGCCGGGCUAAAAAGCCCUAUUUAAAUACGGGCUGGAAUAAUAGAGCCUGAGUCCGGUCCUAUACGGGCUCCCGGGCUAACGGGCCAGCCCUCGUGUUCCUUUUUUUUUAAAAAAAAAAUCCUUUAAUGAUCUCAACAUAACUUGUACAAGCUAACAAAAAAACAGAAUCAGUGAACAAAAUAAUAGCAUAUAGAAAUCAAAUAUUUAUAUAAUUAUAAUAACAAUAUGUUCGGGUGAGUAAAGAAACUAAACGAAGACAAGAGGUAUUACUGAAGAUUAGAGGUAUCAGUGUAAGCUUUGUGCAGGCUGUGUUCUAGUAGCCUACAGAGUGUGAAAAAUUAGUAGUAGCACCAAUAAUACCUAAUCAUGCUAAUAAAUGCAUUCUUUGGCUUUAAUUUGUUAAACAAAUAUAGACAAUUUAAACAAAUUUGUAUUAAGUUUAUAAGAAUUGUUAUAACAUAUAGACAAUUUACUAUCUGUUAUAUUGGAAAGCUUCUAAUGUUAUAACAAAUACACCCGUAUUAAAAGUAAUUGCAGGGAGAGAAAUUAAGAUGUGAAAAACUAAUCUCUUCACUAGAUAUUACUGCAGAUGCUUAAAAAACCCAUUAAGUCUUUCAAUUUCUACACUUGAUCGAAUACACGGAAUAGUUUCAACUCAUAAUGAAAAAUAUAGACAUUACUUAAAGUUGGUUGGAAGCUUAUUCCUUGGUCUGCACUUGAUCCUUCAUUCACUCUACACCAAAACUGAACCAACUUAUAUUUUUUUUGCGGGCUGCCCUUAGCCCGAGCGGGCCAGCCCAAAUGGGUUGCGGGCUUUUUCGGGCCGGGCUAAAAAACCCUGAAAAAAUUCGGGCUGGAAUUUUUUAGCCCAAGCCCUAAGUUUUAUUGAAUGGGACGGCCCGUUUUGACAGAUCUACAAGCAACACGCAUAUCUGUACAAAAUCAGUUGUGCUUUUAUUUCCAAAGGAGCAACAAUAUUUUAGGGAAUAAUUGGAUAUUUUUGGAAGUUCCGAAAGAUGUUCCUUUUUCUUAUGACUUUCCUUAUUUGUUCUGAUUCGUGUUUUGUAGUUCAUCUGAACGAUCUCCAAUUUGUUCUGAAGCCCAAUAAGGUUUGUUAUCCCAUAUUGCUUCAGUAUAAAAGGAAGACUUCAAGACCUAAUUGAUUAUGCAAGCCGUCAUUUCUAAAAGUCUGGUUUUAGGGUUUUGAGUAUUUGUGUGUCUACUCUUGUAUCAUGUUGGUGCAAGUUUAGUACUGUUUGUUUAUUGCGAGCCUUUCUUGUAUCUUCUUGAUACAAGUUAAGGAUUGUUUGUUGAGUUGUAACUCGUUGUGCUACACCAAAACUUUUAAGCAAGGUUGUAGUUGUUUGUUUGAAGGUAACUUCACAAUUUGUGUGUUUAAAUAUUAUAAUCACAGGGGUUGUGUCUGAUUGUAGGAUAGCGAGAUGAGAUCUCAGAUCUAGUAGUUCUUGAUACACUAGUUGCAGCCCCUAGAGUAGGUGUGUUUGUCACCGAACUGGGUCAACAAACUCACUGUGUCCUUUACUUUCUUGUCAUUUAUUUUCUUGAAUUUUAUUUGUUUGUUUGCGUGAUUUUGUAACAUUACACGGAACAUCUUCCUAUUGUGUGUUUGACGUUGAAACAUUGCAUAAAACAUCUGAAAACAAGUACGCUAGAAAUUUCAAUUGGCAUCAGAGUAUGCACCCUGCUUGUUUUAGGGUGAGCUCCUGGGAAGUUUCUUUCUAGCAAAAUGGACAAGGAAGGAGGAUUUGCUAACAGACCACCUAUGUUGGAUGGGUCUAACUAUGACUAUUGGAAAUCACGUAUGAGUGCUUUUCUCAAAUCUAUUGAUUGCGGAACUUGGAAAGCAGUUCUGAAAGGUUGGGAACAUCCUGUGACACUUGAAAAAGAUGGGAACAAGACAGCUGUCUUGAAACCAAAAGAAGAAUGGACCACUGCUGAGGAUGAACUAGCUCUUGGAAAUUCCAAAGCAUUGAAUGCAUUAUUCAAUGGGCUAGAUAAGAACAUGUUCAGAUUGACCAAGCAAUGUAAUAUAGCUAAAGAUGCUUGUGAAAUUCUCAAAACUGCACAUUAAGGUACUACUAAGGUAAAAAGUGCAAGACUUCAACUUCAUACUACAAAAUUAGAGAAUCUGAGAAUGAUGGAGGAUGAGAGCAUACAUGAUUAACACUUAAACAUUCUUUACAUUGCAAAAACUUUUGAUUCUCUUGGAGAGAAAAUGUCUGAUGAAAAUACUCAGAUCUCUACCUGAGAGAUUUGAUAUGAAGGUAACUGCUAUAGAAGAAGCUCAGAACAUUUCAUGUCUGAUGGUUGAUGAGUUGAUAUGAUCUCUUCAAAAUUUUGAAAUCAAUAUCAACAGCAAGACUGAUAAGAAUAACAAUCAAUCCAAGGAUGUUCAAUGUCAUAAAUGUGAAGGAUAUGGUCACAUUAGAACUGAGUGUACGACCUACCUUAAGAAACAAAAGAAAAGUUUGGCUGUCUCCUGGUCUGAUGAAGACAACUUAGAAGGAGAGGUUGAAAAUGAAUAUGCUAAGAAUGUCACUGCUUUAACUGGUGUAUACAUGUCUGAUGAUGAGUCAUGUGAUGAAGAAUUAUCUUAUGAAGAACUAGUAAUCUCUUACAAAGAUCCGUAUACCAAAAGUAUAAAUAUAUGCAAGGUGGUUGAAAAACAGAAGAAGAUCAUCAGUCAACUGCAAACUGAAAGGGACAAUCAUCUGGCAAAAAUAUCUGAGAUCAAUGAUGAGGUAACUCAAAUAAACUCUCAACUAGAACAUUUAAAGAAACAGGUUAAAAUGAUAACCACAUGAACAAAUGCUCUAGAAGAAAUUUUAGAAGUUCAAAUCAGAGGAAAACCAAAUGGUAUAGGAUUUUAUCAUAAAGCUCAAAACAAGAAACAUCAACACAAGAAUUUUGCCUAUGCCUUGAAGGACUAUGGAAAGGAUAAAAGGAACAAAAAGGUUCAAACUAUAAAAUUUGUUGUUGCUAGAGAAACAUAUGAUUCCACCAUUAGUAAAUCAAUGCUGCAACAUUCAGAAGAACAUCAGAUUACCAAAAGCAAAAAGAAAUCUCUCCCAUGGGUCAAUCAUGAUCUACCUGAACUUGACAAUGUGAUGUUGGUGAAAGGCCUAACCUCUAACCUGAUUAGUAUAAGUCAGUUGAAUAUAUCAGUUUGGAUUAUAUGGAAUGAACGCAGCAAUAGAUUAUUUAAAAAUAUAGAAAAUUGCAUACCUAAGUUAUUAGAUAAAGUAAAGUAUUAUUCUUUUUGGUGGCUUAAACCCAAUGGGGCUAAUUUUGUUUAUGGCUUUCAGCGGUGGCGGUCGAACGUGUUCAUGUGCUUGGGUAUUGGCUAAUCACUUAAUGUAACAUUGAUGACAACUUGUAAUUAUUAUGGGCCUCGUCGGUACAACUUGUACUAAGGGAACUUCCUUGUCAAUGUUAAUAUAUUUCAUUUCUUAUUGUAAAAAAAACCACUCAAAAAAUAAUACAAAAAUCAUGAGCUAAAAAUCCAAUAAAUAAUAUGAAAAUACAAAUCUUUUCAAAGUAUUAAGAAAUUCAGCAUAUGACACAUCCAACAGGAUCUUGUUCCACUCUUGAAACAGAAGAAUAUUGAAUAUAUUGUGGUUGUUGCAUGUAAUAAUAAUGAGGAUAGGCUUCAAGUAAUUGAAUUUGGUCCUUCUUCACAUCAGGCUUAGGUUCUUCUUUCUUCUUUUCAUCUUUUGCAGGUCCAACAGAAACUAUUUCAGCAUUACACCACUUCCUAAGUUUGCUUACUACAUGUACUGGAUCUGUGUCUCCAGUUAAGGUUAAUUUCUUGUCUUUCAUGUCCACAGAAACUGAUUCUACCCCUGCAAAUAAUAUACCAAUACAAUUUUAGCAAAAAAAUUAAAGGUAUUACAAUGUUAUAUCAUGAGUUUAAUUAUUUUAUAUUUCAAUUUUAAAAACACAAACUUUUAUUUUUUAUUUUUAAAUUGAAAAAAUGGAGAAUUAUUAUUAAUUAAAGUGAUGCUACAUGAUGUUCAAAUUAUGAGGUUAAAAAGGGAAAAACACAAAUUUUUCCCUCUAGAUUAAAUAAUGUGAAGGCAAAUAAUGCAUGAUUAAAAUAUAUUUACGUUAUAUGUACAUAUCAAAUAAAUUAUCUAUUUAAUAUUUAUUUUCUCAAUAUUGAAACUAGACAUGUACGUUGACAUUACCUGA
rnacentral:lncRNA from 1 species